AUCAUGAGUUCACAUGUCCGCAUGAUUAAAGGUAUUCUCCGGUAGACGAUGGGGAUGCGUUCCAUUAGAUAGUAGGCGGGGUAACGGCCCACCUAGUCAACGAUGGAUAGGGGUUCUGAGAGGAAGGUCCCCCACAUUGGAACUGAGACACGGUCCAAACUCCUACGGGAGGCAGCAGUGAGGAAUAUUGGUCAAUGGGCGAUGGCCUGAACCAGCCAAGUAGCGUGAAGGAUGACUGCCCUAUGGGUUGUAAACUUCUUUUAUAAAGGAAUAAAGUCGGGUAUGCAUACCCGUUUGCAUGUACUUUAUGAAUAAGGAUCGGCUGACUCCGUGCCAGCAGCCGCGGUAAUACGGAGGAUCCGAGCGUUAUCCGGAUUUAUUGGGUUUAAAGGGAGCGUAGAUGGAUGUUUAAGUCAGUUGUGAAAGUUUGCGGCUCAACCGUAAAAUUGCAGUUGAUACUGGAUGUCUUGAGUGCAGUUGAGGCAGGCGGAAUUCGUGGUGUAGCGGUGAAAUGCUUAGAUAUCACGAAGAACUCCGAUUG
rnacentral:rRNA from 1 species